GUUGAUGUAGCUUAACAACAAAGCAAAGCACUGAAAAUGCU
rnacentral:tRNA from 3 species